UCAUGUCAGUUUGAUUCAGUGCGACUACAGAGUUGCUUGUUUGCUCGUUGGUUCAGUAAUAUUAAAGUUAAAAGAUAAAAUGUAUAGAAAUUGUUUAAUAAAACAUAUAAAAUAUAUUUAAGUGUAAAAAUAAAACUAAAACUCUCAAUAUCAGACAUUUCAGUGUCAAGGUUUUGGCGGGCUCUAUAUAUAAAUGGCGGAAUUUUUGCUUAUUGGUAGAACGUACAUUAUGGUACACUUCAACUAUUGAGCUCGCGUUAGCUCGUAAUGUCGUCUGGUGGCAGCGCUGGACGCUGUGCCACGAAGCUGCAUCACCUGCCGUGUCCUUGUCAGUCUCCUUGCCCGGUGUUAUCGCUACUGGACGGAGAACUGAUAAGGGCAUGUCUUGUGAACCACUACCCUCACAUAACGAAGUCUAAUACAUGUGCUGAAGUGUAUAAAAAUGUCGUUUUCACCAAUUAAAAUUGUUGAAAUAUUUUUUUUGUUUAAUUUCUUUUAAAUAAACGUAUGAUUAUGUAUUAUUUAUAUUAAUUUAUUCUAAAUAAAUGAUUAAAAAUAUA